AAGUUGAUGCUAUGAGAUUAACAGGCCUGUGUGUCUGUGUCUGCAGCAACAGUCUGAUGAUGGCUCAAAACUGAGUCUCUUUUCUUUGCACAUAUCAGUGCUGAACUUUGGUGUCAGACUAACAACCAAUGCCAUCUGUUAUUGCUCAUCACCACAGGCUGUAAACAGAAAUACAAAAAAAGGCAGAGGAAAAUGAGGAAUUAACGGCAUUUGACAAACACAUGAAACUCCACAUGUGGCCACAUACGGGAGGUCUUUUUCUAUUGUUAAACACAUAAUGAUGCGAUUCUUUGGUGAUGUAGUCAUACUUUCUUUUUUUACCACAGAAGUUUUGCAGCUUUCUGUGUUUUCAUCACCUGAUCUUUGAUCAUUUUCAAAACAUUGGACCCACCGAACAGAUAAAGGGAUAAGAUAAUACGACUUGAAUGAUAAUAAUAAAAAAAUCAAUCUUAUUGCUGAUGGUCUUGUGUGCUUUUGUUGGUCAUAAACAGGUGCUACCAUUAGUCUGACACAGAAGCUUUGAGGCAUGAAAAUCAAUUGAUGUGACUACUAGUGCUGAAUGCUUCCUUAGCCUUUCGCCUUUUAUGAUAUCCAUACUAAUUUCUCAGAAUAUGACACAAGUUAAACUUUAAAGACCCACCCUGAUAAAAAAUUAUGCUUCUCUUGUUGUCUACAUGUUCAUAUGGCGAUUUUCAUUAGGAAUAUUUCUGCAUUUAAAUCAUUGUGAACCUCUCACAGACCCAAACGGCAGGUUAAGAUGCAGUAAGACUUUCCAUGUCACAAUUCCAAGCUCUGCCUCCGCCAUCCUGCUCUGCAGCACAGCUGUCAAGUAUCCCAUUUUGGCCAGGAAGCUAUCAUAUUUUACCCCUUAUUACUACUCUCCCGGAAAUAUGUCGUUUUAUAAUAUAUGUAUAUAAAAAACAUUAUUCUGCCACACCAAACUGAACUUUGUGACUAGCGCACACCAAGUACCCACCAACUAGUCAUAGCACGGACUAGCGCGCUAAGUACCCGAACCAAUACUUGAGAGUUAUGCUCUGCAGGCCAGACUCCGAGAAGUAGAGAGGACAAUCGUGGAAAAAGUGUGUGUGGUAGCAGAUUGCAAUGCUUGUUAGCAAGCUAUGAACUAUAACUAUGAAACUAGCUUUCAUCAUGCUUCCAAAAGACAUUAGUGUCAGAGAGCUGAAUGGCUCCUAUGUUACCUGCCACUUCUACUACACCGGCAAUGUUAGGCUACAAGCUAGCGUGAAGAGGAGGGUGCAGAACAUAGCUAACUACGCCCACAACUCAAGAGGCAAAUUGCUAAUGAGCUACUGGAGUUCUGCAGAAGAAAGGCCCUUGAAAAUAACACAGGUAACGUGAUUUUGGCUGAAAAUUUCAUACUCACAAUUUGAAGACCACUGAGAACACUUUAAGUAGUAAAAAAAAAAGGAAAUCGAUUGGAGAGGGACUUUAAGCUUCCACAUUAUUAAACAGAGAAGUGACAAUUGCGGUUUCAGGUGUAAGCUGAAACAAGCAUUUGUGGUAGCUACAGAAGAAAAAUAGUAAAUAUAUACUUAUAUGAUCCAGGGUUUAAAAUACAAAUGAAAGCAUAAAUUAACAGUGUUUCUAUUUAGAGCCAUAGAAACGCUAUGAAUGGUAAAAUAUCAAUAUUUACACAGAAUGUCUUCAUGACCUUGACUUUAAAAGCUGUUCAGAGACCCUGAUUUAAAUUCCACAUGCAUGUGACAGCAGUCAUUAGCAAACCUCACACUGUGUCAGGACCAGAUAAUCCACAGCCAAUAUUCCUACUGUGCUCGGCUCUGCUCUCCGACCCAGCAUGUGCAACUGGCCCCCCUCCCUGAGGAGUAACAAUAUGAAUGGGUAUUAAAAGUAUAUGUUGGGGGGAACAUUGUUCCCCAUGGGCUUAUCCUGGUUCCACGCUGUUGGCAAACCUAACAAGGCAGACAGAGCUGCAGCCUGUGAGACGACCCAAGUCCCGAGAGAAAUUUAUGAAGAUCACGAGUCAGACUCACUCCUCUGGAAACUUAAAGCAGGGAAGAUUUGUUUCUCAGACAUUUACUGUCAAAGAAUCACAUCUGAUUGGACCCAAAGGAUAAGGUGAAGGU
rnacentral:lncRNA from 1 species